rnacentral:rRNA from 1 species
AUGAACGCUAGCGACAGGCUUAACACAUGCAAGUCGAGGGGCAGCACAGGUAGCAAUACCGGGUGGCGACCGGCGCACGGGUGAGUAACGCGUAUGCAACUUGCCUAUCAGAGGGGGAUAACCCGGCGAAAGUCGGACUAAUACCGCAUGAAGCAGGGAUCCCGCAUGGGAAUAUUUGCUAAAGAUUCAUCGCUGAUAGAUAGGCAUGCGUUCCAUUAGGCAGUUGGCGGGGUAACGGCCCACCAAACCGACGAUGGAUAGGGGUUCUGAGAGGAAGGUCCCCCACAUUGGUACUGAGACACGGACCAAACUCCUACGGGAGGCAGCAGUGAGGAAUAUUGGUCAAUGGCCGAGAGGCUGAACCAGCCAAGUCGCGUGAGGGAUGAAGGUUCUAUGGAUCGUAAACCUCUUUUAUAAGGGAAUAAAGUGCGGGACGUGUCCCGUUUUGUAUGUACCUUAUGAAUAAGGAUCGGCUAACUCCGUGCCAGCAGCCGCGGUAAUACGGAGGAUCCGAGCGUUAUCCGGAUUUAUUGGGUUUAAAGGGUGCGUAGGCGGCCUUUUAAGUCAGCGGUGAAAGUCUGUGGCUCAACCAUAGAAUUGCCGUUGAAACUGGGGGGCUUGAGUAUGUUUGAGGCAGGCGGAAUGCGUGGUGUAGCGGUGAAAUGCAUAGAUAUCACGCAGAACCCCGAUUGCGAAGGCAGCCUGCCAAGCCAUGACUGACGCUGAUGCACGAAAGCGUGGGGAUCAAACAGGAUUAGAUACCCUGGUAGUCCACGCAGUAAACGAUGAUCACUAGCUGUUUGCGAUACACUGUAAGCGGCACAGCGAAAGCGUUAAGUGAUCCACCUGGGGAGUACGCCGGCAACGGUGAAACUCAAAGGAAUUGACGGGGGCCCGCACAAGCAGUGGAGUAUGUGGUUUAAUUCGACGCAACGCGAAGAACCUUACCAAGGCUUGACAUAUACAGGAAUAUAUAAGAGAUUAUAUAGCUCUUCGGAGUCUGUAUACAGGUGGUGCAUGGUUGUCGUCAGCUCGUGUCGUGAGAUGUUGGGUUAAGUCCCGCAACGAGCGCAACCCCUAUCCUAUGUUACCAGCAAGUAAAGUUGGGGACUCAUGGGAGACUGCCAGGGACAACCUGGAGGAAGGCGGGGAUGACGUCAAAUCAGCACGGCCCUUACAUCCGGGGCGACACACGUGUUACAAUGGCGUGGACAAAGGGAGGCCACCUGGCGACAGGGAGCGAAUCCCCAAACCACGUCUCAGUUCGGAUCGGAGUCUGCAACCCGACUCCGUGAAGCUGGAUUCGCUAGUAAUCGCGCAUCAGCCAUGGCGCGGUGAAUACGUUCCCGGGCCUUGUACACACCGCCCGUCACACCAUGAGAGUCGGUAACACCCGAAGCCGGUGGCCUAACCGCAAGGAAGGAGCUGUCUAAGGUGGGACUGAUGAUUGGGGUG